CAAUUUUUAGUGUCAGUAAAUUUAUUAACUAAGUUUUAGCUGACGGCGGCUCCCUGGCCCAAACCAGGUCGAUUCCAGCUUGGCAACAUUGCGAUUCGAGUUCGUGGCCGACCCACAUACGAUAAUCAACCAUAAAAUCGCUUUUUACAUUCAAUAUGAGCGAAAGGACAACUCGCACCA